rnacentral:rRNA from 1 species
UCUGGCGGCAGUAGCGCGGUGGUCCCACCUGACCCCAUGCCGCACUCAGAAGUGAAACGCCGUAGCGCCGAUGGUAGUGUGGGGUCUCCCCAUGCGAGAGUAGGGAACUGCCAGAC